rnacentral:misc_RNA from 1 species
AACUCUUGACAACGGAUCACUUGGCUCUCGCAUCGAUGAAGAACACAGCGAAAUGUGAUAAGUAAUGUGAAUUGCAGAAUUCAGUGAAUCAUCGAAUCUUUGAACGCACCUUGCACCCUUUGGAAUGCUCCAAAGGGUAUGCUCGUUUGAGUGUCAUUGUACUCUCACACUCUCUGAUCCUUUGGAUUGGGGAGCGGUGGACUUGGGUGCUUGCUGCUUCCUUGUGGCUCACCUGAAAUGCGUCAGUGCAUCUCUUGAUUGGACAUAGUACGGCGUGAUAAGUGUCUUCGCCGGCACCUCGUAAGAGGGUGGCUGAUCGGGAGCUCUGUGCUUUCAAACCGUCUUCGGACAAUCCCUGACAACUUGACCUCAAAUCGAGUAGGACUACCCGCUGAACUUAAGCAUAUCAAUAAGCGGAGGCU